GACGAACGCUGGCGGCGUGCUUAACACAUGCAAGUCGAACGGAAAGGCCCUGCUUUUGUUGGGUGCUCGAGUGGCGAACGGGUGAGUAACACGUGAGUAACCUGCCCUUGACUUUGGGAUAACUUCAGGAAACUGGGGCUAAUACCGGAUAGGAGCUCCUGCUGCAUGGUGGGGGUUGGAAAGUUUCGGCGGUUGGGGAUGGACUCGCGGCUUAUCAGCUUGUUGGUGGGGUAGUGGCUUACCAAGGCUUUGACGGGUAGCCGGCCUGAGAGGGUGACCGGCCACAUUGGGACUGAGAUACGGCCCAGACUCCUACGGGAGGCAGCAGUGGGGAAUAUUGCACAAUGGGCGGAAGCCUGAUGCAGCAACGCCGCGUGCGGGAUGACGGCCUUCGGGUUGUAAACCGCUUUCGCAUGUGACGAAGCGUGAGUGACGGUAAUGGGUAAAGAAGCACCGGCUAACUACGUG
rnacentral:rRNA from 1 species